CUCCCGUGCCCCAGUCGUCUGUCCGGCGGGCCGCGGGGAAACGAGACCCCUCCCCUAGCUCCGAAGGCUGCCGGCAAGGUGUGCGCUGGAGUUAAUACGCAAACCCAACAGGCAGGUGGCAGCCACAUUUAUGAAACUGAACAAGAAUGUCACAUACAGACCUACAUCUGCCACUAGUUGUGUGGCCUUGGACAAAUCUCUGUCCCCAUCUGUAAAACGGGCUGUGAUCGUUUUCUUCGCAAGGCCACGCUGACUUUGAGACAUGACAGAAGUCUGGAAAAGAUAAAGCGACAAGUUCAAACGUAUAACGCUUACUUUUACUCCGCAUCAAAGCAAACCAAACAUCGAGAAGACCUAUAUGCAGAGCUAAAAUACUCAAUUGAUCCUUUUUUUCCCCACUGACCGGCUCCUGGGAAACGUGGAUGCCUCAGCCUCUUAAAUAACGCUGCUAACAGCGGGCCAAUUGUGCAGCAGGACCGGCACUGCCCCAGGUAGCCGAUAACUUCCUGUGUUGAAACGAUGACUUGGAGAUUUCAUCAUGAUAUCUUUGCACACCAGGAAAUAUCAUCUUUCAGACCUGCCAUUUCUUAAAGUAAUCGGUGAGAAUGCUAUUAAAGUCGAUGUCUUAAUUAAGCCUAGCAUUAGCCAA